GCAGCGCUGUCGUCAACUGUUUAGCUCGCCUCUGGACCGCCUAUAUCAGAUACACCAAUGUGACUGGUUCCUCGCGAUGCAAGGGGUAGUAGGAUGAGUU